AUCGUAAUUCUUACAUCGCUGAUUUUGAAGAAAAAUUAUAAAUACUGUCAUCUCUGCAAUUACAUAUGUUUCGUUAACGCGAAUUUGCUCCAAUGAGAUCGAUCAAUCAAUCGAUAAAAGCUGUUUUUGAAAUGCAAACUUUUGCAUAUGCGAGUUUGCUCUUGUGCUACAGCGAAGAGGAUCGUUAUGGCAUCCAUGAGCCCUUAUCGUGAAAUUUUGAAAGAAAGAAAGAAGAAAUCACAUCAGUCCACACUAUAUACCUUCUUUAAAAAUCAUGACGAUCCUCAACCAGGGACUUCGUCAGAGAACUAACUCCGCUUCAUCACGCCCUCGCCGAUUUAUCUGCUUCAUUUUCUUAUGCAAAUGCAAUGGAAUUUGUUGUAAACCAACAUUAACAUACAAAAGGUAUCAUAUGUUUUGUCAGGAUUGUCCAUUUUAGUGUAACAAGAGUGAUAUCAAGCAUAAAGAGAUUCUUUCAGUUGAAUGUCGGUAUUCCAUGCAUAUGUGUCUGUGGGUUUUUUCUACACAUAAGGGGUUUUCAUGCAUUUGAAGUAGUUUUAAACUCUUUUUGAGAGGAGUAAACAAAAUUUACCUCAUUCAAGUAUUAAUGAAUUGAGGUUAUAAUUCUUCAAUGAAUUAAAAUUAUAUAACUCAUUAACAGCUGAUGGGGGAUGGGCAGUUUUGUAUGAAGCUUCCAUUUAAAGGUAAUAUGAACUUUGAUUUCCUGUUAAUUAUGUGUGCCAUAGUCAAAGUAUUAUAUCACAGACUAAGGAUUAUAAGUCCUCAAAUUUUAAAGUAAUGGCACACAUUAAAAUUAAGGUUAUGUCAUGUGAAAUUUGCCAGGCUGUCAUUGUACUCAGUAUACUGGUUAAGCUACCUGAAUACUAAGUACAAAGGUAAUGAAGACUGUGACCAUAAGUGAUAUUAUAGUAUGUAUUCUGAUUAAUCAGUGUUUCAUUAGCAUAUUUAAACAAGUCAAUGUAACUGGUUAAAAUUACUUUUUUAAUGUACUGACAAGUAUUUAUCACUACCAAAACAAAUUUGCGUUCAUAAUUUAAUAUUCACAGAACUGCAAAACUGACCAACAAAAUUGAACAGAAUUCUGAAAAUGACAAAAAAAUUAUAAAAAUCAUACACAUAAGUCAGUUAUGUUUUGAGCCUUCUCUUUAAAGAAAAGAACAUAGACCUCAGAAUUUCUGAGUUGAAGAUAAUUAUGUUACUGAUUCCAAAUUUUAAAUUUUGCUUUCAGAUGAAAUUCCUACUGAUCGUGUUCCAGUAAUAUUUAAAUUAGCUGAUUGAGAAAUUCCUUGUAAUUCAUGUGUAAUGAUAAUAGAUUCUUAUUUUAAUAUUCACUUGUGCCAUCUUGUUGCUUGCAUACACAUUGCCUGUCCCUUAUUCUAGUUACAUGAUGAUGAACCCUGAAUGUGUUUGAUAGGUGUCUGUAUAAUCUUAACUUCUACAUCUUCAUGGUGAUAUAAUAAUACUAGGGAAAGUAAGUUAACAGAUUGUGAAAUGAAAUGUGGAACAAGAAUAGGCUUUGAACUAAGAACCAUAAGCACAAAAGAAUCAUAAUCCACCCCUUCCUUCAAAAAAAUGCAACAGUUAUAAUGGAAGUGUCUCUUUUCUGCUCCUAAACAUUAUUUCAGUCGUUGUUGCUGCCAUAUUUGCUUGCAAAAAAUGUUACAUAUAAUUAAUUCUUUACUCUUCCCUCUCAACCAUAACACUACUAUCAGCCCUUACCCUUACUCCACCAACCCCUUGUUGAAUGAUAUCUGAAUGUCAGACCUCUAGGAUGGGGUGGAAAACAGACCAUCACAUUUUGAAAAACUUGGCAACAUUUUGCAAAGUACCCUUUUUCUAUAAAAUAACUUGAAAUAAAAAUUAAUAUAAAAACUUAUGCACACAAGUGUCUAUAUAAGAAAUAUAUAUAUAUAUAAAAGUAUAGAAAUGAAAUGAUCAUGUACAGUUUGUGAUAAUUUUUUCAUCAUGAAAAUCAUAAUCCAUAGUGCUUUUUUGAGCAUGUGAUAUAAUUUUUUUUAUCAUUCAUCAUAAGAAGAAUUUUUGUACUCAUAUUCUGUAAUGACAGGUGAGUGCAAGGAACUUAAAACCAUCACAGAAAUAAAAUACAUGUGAAAGAAACAUGAAAUAAUUAAACAGUUACUGAUAUGUACCAUGUGUGUCCAUUAAUCUUCAAAAUUUGUCCCCCAUGCCUUCUCUAACAUAUGAGGUGAUCCCUGUUCAUCAUGAAAAAUAAUAAUUACCACCAUUAAGAAUAAUAGAAAAUAUUUAUUUCUGUAUUACUGCAUGUGAAGAAAAACAAAUUUUACCACAAUCAAGACAGAAGCUGCUAGCACAUGAAAAAUUUUAGUUUGGUAAAUGAUAUCAUAGUCUACAAAUGUGUUUUGUAUGUGAAUUGCCUCUUAUGAUAUUAUACAAGGCUAAGCAAUCUU